rnacentral:rRNA from 1 species
AAUCAACGCUGGCGGCGUGCCUAACACAUGCAAGUCGAACGCGAAAGCCCCGCAAGGGGUAAGUAGAGUGGCAAACGGGUGAGUAACACGUGGGUGACCUGCCUUCGAGUGGGGGAUAACGUCCCGAAAGGGACGCUAAUACCGCAUGACAUCCUGCUUUUGAAAAAGCGGAGAUCAAAGCUGGGGAUCGCAAGACCUAGCGCUUGAAGAGGGGCCCGCGCCUGAUUAGCUAGUUGGUGAGGUAACGGCUCACCAAGGCGACGAUCAGUAUCCGGCCUGAGAGGGCGGACGGACACACUGGGACUGAGACACGGCCCAGACUCCUACGGGAGGCAGCAGUGGGGAAUUGUUCGCAAUGGGCGCAAGCCUGACGACGCAACGCCGCGUGGAGGACGAAGAGCUUCGGGUCGUAAACUCCUGUCGAGCGGGACGAACGCUUCGCGGAUGAAUAAUCCGCGGAAUUGACGGUACCGCUAAAGGAAGCCCCGGCUAACUCCGUG